UUAUAGCUCUGGAGCGAUACAGUGAAGGGGACUGAGGUUUUCGCAGCGUGUGCUCUCGGGCAAGGCUGGAUGGGUGCUAUGGGAUCGUUCGGGGUACAAUGCCUGGCAUUUUGCUUCGUGUCUUUUCUAUACUCGCUCAACUCAGCUCUUCCACGCUUAGGAUGUUGACUUAAUGGUUUUAAACGA
rnacentral:rRNA from 1 species